rnacentral:tRNA from 1 species
GCCUCCGUAGCUCAGUUGGAUAGAGCAUCGGCCUCCGGAGCCGAGUGCACAGGUUCGAGUCCUGUCGGGGGUACAA